UACGGAGGGUGCAAGCGUUAAUCGGAAUUACUGGGCGUAAAGGGUGCGUAGGUGGUUGAUUAAGUUAUCUGUGAAAUCCCUGGGCUCAACCUGGGCAGGUCAGAUAAUACUGAUGGACUCGAGUAUAGGAGAGGGUAGUGGAAUUUCCGGUGUAGCGGUGAAAUGCGUAGAGAUCGGAAGGAACACCAGUGGCGAAGGCGGCUACCUGGCCUAAUACUGACACUGAUGCACGAAAGCGUGGGGAUCAAACAGG
rnacentral:rRNA from 1 species